rnacentral:lncRNA from 1 species
CUGAACUUUGCAAUUUCCCGUGUAUUUAAUUUUUCUGCAACAAUUCUUAACUUAUUUAUAAGAUAUUUUUCGCUGGUAUUUACCGACUAUGGCAAAGUCAUGUGAUUCGCUUUGGUGGAGUUGACCAGUGCGUCGAAAAAAUGUCACUCAGUCAUUUUUAAAUUCAAAUUACAGUAACACAUUGCUUAGGCUGAGAAUGACAAUCAUGACACCUUCAAAGCGAGACGGGAUUGAGCAAGAAAGUAUUGACUUUUAUUUCACAAUUCCACCAAACAGAAAGUAAAGCUCUAUUACACUCUCAUGAAAAAAAAGUUCCACCGCAAUAUUAUUUACAUACGAAAACAUGUUUAACCCCAAACGCCCUAGUCUAUUUCAAAAUAACAUAGCUGAACAAUGAUCCCCGGUCAGUAUUUAAAGCUCUAGAUAGAUUUAAAGUCUAAGGUACUUAGAUUUGAGGAAGGCAGUCUGAGAUAUUUGAGAAAAAAAUCUAACUCUGAUGUUUGACUUAAACAAAAAUUCUGGCCGUAUCUG